rnacentral:rRNA from 1 species
AGCAGCCGCGGUAAUUCCAGCUCCAAUAGCGUAUAUUAAAGUUGUUGCAGUUAAAAAGCUCGUAGUUGAAUUUCGGGGUCAGUAGGCUGGUCGUGCCUCCGGUACGUACUGGUCUUACUGAUUCCUCCUUCCUGACGAACCGUAAUGCCAUUAAUUUGGUGUUGCGGGGAAUCUGGACUGUUACUUCGAAAAAAUUAGAGUGUUUAAAGCAGGCUAACGCUUGAAUACAUUAGCAUGGAAUAAUGAAAUAGGACGAUCGAUCCUAUUUUGUUGGUUUCUAGGAUUGACGUAAUGAUUAAUAGGGAUAGUUGGGGGCAUUAGUAUUCAAUUGUCAGAGGUGAAAUUCUUGGAUUUAUUGAAGACUAACUACUGCGAAAGCAUUUGCCAAGGAUGUUUUCAUUAAUCAAGAACGAAAGUUAGGGGAUCGAAGACGAUCAGAUACCGUCGUAGUCUUAACCAUAAACUAUGCCGACUAGGGAUCGGAUGAUGUUAAUUUUUAAUGACUCAUUCGGCGCCUUAC